rnacentral:ribozyme from 1 species
ACGGUGCUAACAUGAACGCCCAGGUCGGUUUGACAAGUCCAGGUCUCAUUGGCGCAGAUGUUUGUCACUUGAAUUUACAUAAGACAUUUUGCAUUCCUCAUGGUGGUGGUGGUCCGGGAGUUGGAUCAAUCGGGGUAGCAGCACAUCUUGCCCCAUUCUUACCAGGUCAUGUUGUAGGCCAAGAAGCUUCUGGUAAAUUAUGUGGAUCGGACUUAUGUGUUCCCAAAUCAGAUGGAGCAGUAGCCGGUGCUCCUUUUGGAUCUGCUGCAAUCCUUCCUAUAUCAUGGAUGUACAUUAAGAUGAACGGCAAGAAAGGGCUUAAGAAAGCAACUCAAUAUGCUAUCCUCAAUGCGAACUACAUGGCAGCUCGUCUGAACGGAGC